rnacentral:rRNA from 1 species
CGAGGAGAGGAGAAGCAGGUGGUGUAAUGAGGGUAGGGCAAUCGUGAAUAGGAGACAGUGGGCGGAAUGAGCAAGUAGUGGGAUUAAUAAGGUUGAAUUGAAAUGAUAGAGAGUAACGAGAGAAGUGCUUUGAAGAAUGUGAAUCUAGAAUGUGGGAGAGGUGAAUGGAAUUUCUGGUGGAAGGGGAUAAUCCGUAGAGAUCAGAAGGAAUACCGAUUGCGAAGGCGAUCUAAUGGAACAUUAUUGACGCUGAGAGGCGAAAGCGUGGGGAGCAAACAGGAUUAGAUACCCUAGUAGUC